rnacentral:rRNA from 1 species
GACGAACGCUGGCGGCGUGCUUAACACAUGCAAGUCGAACGGAAAGGCCCUUCGGGGUACUCGAGUGGCGAACGGGUGAGUAACACGUGGGUGAUCUGCCCUGCACUUUGGGAUAAGCCUGGGAAACUGGGUCUAAUACCGAAUAGGACCACGCGCUUCAUGGUGUGUGGUGGAAAGCUUUUGCGGUGUGGGAUGGGCCCGCGACCUAUCAGCUUGUUGGUGGGGUAAUGGCCUACCAAGGCGACGACGGGUAGCCGGCCUGAGAGGGUGACCGGCCACACUGGGACUGAGAUACGGCCCAGACUCCUACGGGAGGCAGCAGUGGGGAAUAUUGCACAAUGGGCGCAAGCCUGAUGCAGCGACGCCGCGUGAGGGAUGACGGCCUUCGGGUUGUAAACCUCUUUCAAUAGGGACGAAGCGCAAGUGACGGUACCUAUAGAAGAAGCACCGGCCAACUACGUG